AUUGAACGCUGGCGGCAUGCCUUACACAUGCAAGUCGAACGGUAACGGGUCCUUCGGGAUGCCGACGAGUGGCGAACGGGUGAGUAAUAUAUCGGAACGUGCCCAGUAGUGGGGGAUAACUGCUCGAAAGAGCAGCUAAUACCGCAUACGACCUGAGGGUGAAAGGGGGGGAUCGCAAGACCUCUCGCUAUUGGAGCGGCCGAUAUCAGAUUAGCUAGUUGGUGGGGUAAAGGCCUACCAAGGCAACGAUCUGUAGUUGGUCUGAGAGGACGACCAGCCACACUGGGACUGAGACACGGCCCAGACUCCUACGGGAGGCAGCAGUGGGGAAUUUUGGACAAUGGGCGCAAGCCUGAUCCAGCAAUGCCGCGUGCAGGAUGAAGGCCUUCGGGUUGUAAACUGCUUUUGUACGGAGCGAAAAGGCUCUCUCUAAUACAGGGGGCUCAUGACGGUACCGUAAGAAUAAGCACCGGCUAACUACGUGCCAGCCGCCGCGGUAA
rnacentral:rRNA from 1 species